GCAUCGGAGGAUGAUCUGUCUGUCACCUUUUGGGGCCAGGAUUGACUAGGCUGAUCUGGCUGCGUAGGCUAGUGGCUUCUUCUCCUUGUGCUCUGUGUGUUCCUCCAAGUAUUGUGUAUGCAACUGAAGAGACAGUCUUUUCUUUAUAGAAGGGGACCGGUCUUCCAUCACGGGCGUACAGGUAGCUGUGAUCCCCUUGCUGAAAAUGCCAAAACAAACUCUUAAAGGACUAUUUCUGUUGAGCAUAGGUCACUUUUACACCAUCGUAGAGGUGAAUAUCUUCAUGU
rnacentral:sRNA from 1 species